UACGUAGGGUGCAAGCGUUAAUCGGAAUUACUGGGCGUAAAGCGUGCGCAGGCGGUUGUGUAAGACAGAUGUGAAAUCCCCGGGCUCAACCUGGGAACUGCAUUUGUGACUGCACAGCUGGAGUGCGGCAGAGGGGGAUGGAAUUCCGCGUGUAGCGGUGAAAUGCGUAGAUAUGCGGAGGAACACCGAUGGCGAAGGCAAUCCCCUGGGCCUGCACUGACGCUCAUGCACGAAAGCGUGGGGAGCAAACAGG
rnacentral:rRNA from 1 species